AGUCUUAUAUUCAUUUGAUGAUAAUAGAAUGCAAUUCUGUAGGAGUAGUAAUCUACUAAGGCUU
rnacentral:tRNA from 1 species